UUCUGGAGUAGAGAUGGAGAGGGAACUGCCAAACCUUUUUCAUUAGCUCAAGGAAGGUUCCUGAUGGUCACAUGAUCACAGGGCCAGUCCCUCUGCCCUGCAGGUCUUCUGUGACAGUCUGGUCAACCUAGAAAUCCUACAGCCUCCUCCCCAGUUGUCUUUGUUUGUUUGCUUUGUUUAAUGAGACACGGUUUCUCUGUGUAGUUCUGGCUGUCCUGGAACUCAGCUCUAUAGACCACGAUGGCCUUGAACUCAGAGAUCCGCCUGCCUCUGUCUCCUGAAUGCUGGGAGUAAAGGCGUGCAUCAUUGUCUUAACGAUGCACAGAGGCUCAAAUGAGGCAUGGACCAGCCCGAGCCCCCAACAAGGUACAGUGAGGUUGGGGGGUGGACCUGGACCUGGGCCUGAGCCUCUUGCCACUCCUACACUCCAGAGUGCUCUCCCAGCAGUCUCAGGCAGACUGAACCGCACAGCCCAUUUCCACCUCCUUCCCUUAGAAAAAGGGGAUACAGAGGGGAGUCAGGGAGCCCUUGCUCCUUGGGAACUCCAUUUCUCUCUAGCCAUCAUACCCUCCUCCCUUGAUCCUGCUCUUCCUCUCUGUCCAGCAGUAUAGGUCCAUGCAGAAGACCUGCUGUCCUGAACUGGGGUUGCUGACAAUGAACACCAAACUAUCUCCUCUCCCCAGGGUUGCCCUCCUUGUGCCUGGCCUGAUGGCUUUACCCAUCCCAGGCUUGCAGCUGCUCCCUAAGAUCGCCAACUACUCCCCAGCUGCCAAAGCCUAGGAUUAAUUUCAGGCCUCGCCAGCUUUGGGCUCUGCUCCUACUUCAUCAAGCUCCAGAUCUUUUCUCCCAAGCUGCAACUCAUCAUUCCCUGUCACGGGGAGAGCUCCUGAAGAGCGAGGACGAGGGCAUGGGGUCUCUUCAACCUUCCAGCACCAGGCACAGGCAUGUCCCACAGGCGCGUGCCCGCGAGCGAGCGAGCGAGCGCGCAGCACUCACCAUCUUGCUGAAGUGGUACUUGCAGUAGCCGCAGUACUUGACGUUGCCCACCUCCAGCACCUCCUCCUCACACAGCAGGCCUGCCAUCUGGGCACUGGGAAGAGGCAGGUCAGCAGGGUGUAGCCACAAACCACAGCUGCCCCACCUCCUUCUCCUGAACCCAAGUUCCAAGCAUGGCAUCGCCACCAUCUCUCACGAGACAGUCCCACUCAACAGCCACCACAAGCCCUGGAGCAGGCGGGGAAUCUCACCAGGUGACAUGAAAAGCCUGUCGACAACCGUGGCGGUUACAGGUCAUGCAGGCUCCUGAGGCGGCUUUGCUCUCCCGACCCUGUUCCUCACAGAUGUAACAGGUCUGCGGGGCACAGCACAAUUGACCCCUCCUCCAGGGAACCCCCACCUUGCCUGCCGAGGGAUUCUAUGGCUUCCCCUCAAUUCCAUCCUGUCCCCCACGCCCACACCAGUGCUAUCCAACAGAAGUUUCUGCAGGAAUAGAUGUUGGUCUCUAACCUGUACAAUGCAAGCCAACAAGCACUAGUCACAAGGCCAUCUGAAUAUUCAAUUUAAAAGUUUAUUUUCUUUUA